AUACUCAUGCCAACAGCAUAUAUACUGAAAUCAGAGUGAUACAGAGAAGAUUAGCAUGGCCUCUGUGCAAGGAUGACACGCAAGUAAGUUUGGUGCUAUAAUUAUUG
ensembl:snRNA U6 U6 spliceosomal RNA